rnacentral:rRNA from 2 species
UGGGGGAUAUUGCACAAUGGGGGAAACCCUGAUGCAGCGACGCCGCGUGGAGGAAGAAGGUUUUCGGAUUGUAAACUCCUGUCGUUAGGGACGAUAAUGACGGUACCUAACAAGAAAGCACCGGCUAACUACGUGCCAGCAGCCGCGGUAAAACGUAGGGUGCAAGCGUUGUCCGGAAUUACUGGGUGUAAAGGGAGCGCAGGCGGGAAGACAAGUUGGAAGUGAAAACCAUGGGCUCAACCCAUGAAUUGCUUUCAAAACUGUUUUUCUUGAGUAGUGCAGAGGUAGAUGGAAUUCCCGGUGUAGCGGUGGAAUGCGUAGAUAUCGGGAGGAACACCAGUGGCGAAGGCGGUCUACUGGGCACCAACUGACGCUGAGGCUCGAAAGCAUGGGUAGCAAACAGGAUUAGAUACCCUGGUAGUCCAUGCCGUAAACGAUGAUUACUAGGUGUUAGGGGAUUGACCCCCUCAGUGCCGCAGUUAACACAAUAAGUAAUCCACCUGGGGAGUACGACCGCAAGGUUGAAACUCAAAGGAAUUGACGGGGGCCCGCACAAGCAGUGGAGUAUGUGGUUUAAUUCGAAGCAACGCGAAGAACCUUACCAGGUCUUGACAUCCGAUGCAUAGCACAGAGAUGUGUGAAAUCCUUCGGGACAUCGAGACAGGUGGUGCAUGGUUGUCGUCAGCUCGUGUCGUGAGAUGUUGGGUUAAGUCCCGCAACGAGCGCAACCCUUAUUGCCAGUUACUACGUUAAGAGGACUCUGGCGAGACUGCCGUUGACAAAACGGAGGAAGGUGGGGAUGACGUCAAAUCAUCAUGCCCUUUAUGACCUGGGCUACACACGUACUACAAUGGCGUUAAACAAAGAGAAGCAAGACCGCGAGGUGGAGCAAAACUCAAAAACAACGUCUCAGUUCAGAUUGCAGGCUGCAACUCGCCUGCAUGAAGUCGGAAUUGCUAGUAAUCGCGGAUCAGCAUGCCGCGGUGAAUACGUUCCC